rnacentral:lncRNA from 1 species
GACAGUUACUCCCUCAUUCCUCCCGACAUCCAGUGUGGGACAGAUGCUACUGUUGGUGCGAGGGCCUCUGAGGUGCCACGGAGGGAACUUGAGCUUCCACUGAGGACAGGACCCUGACAUCCUCACUUUCUAGAUGAAGCCACCUGCUUGAAUUCCUGGUGCUGAGACUCCUGAAAGCUGAAACAGAUGUUUCCUUAAGGUACUAUUAUUAUUUACAGUUUAGUUUCAUAGUAGGGGGCGUA